rnacentral:lncRNA from 1 species
CAUUUGACCACAUGUGAUACUCCAGACCGUUGGAUCUUCUAAUUGAUAUCAACGGUGAUGAGCCUCUUAUAUAUAAUGGCAUUUGAUGAUUGCCCUAAUGAACUUGACUCAUUUUUCUUCCAUCUCUUGAACUCUUUAGAAUCUGAGAUUUUUUGUCUUCCUUUCUCCUUCGUCUCUUUCGUCUUCUUUGUGUUUUCCUUGGAACUUCUGUGAUUUAGGGUUUGUAUUCUGUCUGAAUAAGUGAAUCUAAGUGAUUCUUGAAUGAGGAAAAAGGGUUUAUAUCUGUUUUGGGGCUUUUUUCUUUGGUCGAAGUAACCUCGUUCUAUUUUCUAUGUGGGUUUGGAUAUUUUGGUGCUUUACUUUUGUGCAGAAGGGUACAAUGAUUCUUGAGCCCAAAUAAUAAAUGAAAUCUUGGUGUCAAAUGUUAGAUUUGUUUUGUAACAUUUAACAGUGAAUGAUUUGGGAUACUUUGUGUGUAUUUUUUGAUUUCUUGGUAUAGUAGUGGUAUCAGAGCCUUUAGAGGCGUUAGGGCUUCGUUCGACGGUGAUCUAUUUGUGAAAAAUCAUUUUCACAGCGAGAUCUGAAGAGAUCUGUGUGAUCGAAACCCUAGAUCUAUUUCAACUACAGAUCGUACAUAUCUUUGUUUACUUUUUUUUUUUUUUUUUUAUAAUUAUGUGUUAGAUAAUCAUUCUCUACCAGAUACAUACAGUAGAAUUUUUAUUUAUGUCUAAAAAUCUUUGUCUACAAUCUCAAAUUCAGAAUUCAAUAAUUUCAAUUUUGAAAUAUCACGACGGCAUCACCUUCUGAAUAAACCAAUUUUGUGGUCAAUGGGUGAGGUUUGGACCCAUUCGGCUCUAUGACUCAAGUUCAAUGGGUUCUGAUGCCCCAAUUUGAGCCUUGACCUGAGGACGUGAUCUUCAUAGAAUCUUGGUGAAUUUGGGCAUUUGGGGCCUGAAGUGCAUUACGUUGAAUAUACUAUCGUUUCUUAUUAUUGUUAAUACUUUGUGUGUUACUGUUUUCUUGAUUCUUGAAGCUACUUGAUACUUAAUAAUCUUGGCCGACUCUUAGUGUUGUCAAACUUUAUUCUAUAUCCACAUGUUUUCUGUUGAACAUUGUAACUACAAAUAAUUUUCUCGUGUUGAUUAUGAACUCCAAAUGUCGACUACUAAGUUUGAACUUGGGGGUUUAAAUGGAAAAUGGGACUUCCCUAUUUGACAGCAAAAGAUGAAAUGGGUCCUUAUUCAACAGAAAGUCUUAGAGGCUAUAACUGCCGAAUAUUCUGCUACUAUGACUCAAGAACAAAAAACUAAAUCUGAUGAACUUGCCAACCCCUCUAUCAUAUUGCGUUCAUUUGAUCAAGUUUUAAGGAAAGUUGGGAAACUAGAUAAUGCAAAAGCUUUGUGGGAUAAAUUAGAAGAAAUUUAUUUAGUAAAAUCCUUACCAAAUAAAAUAUUUCUUCUGGAAAGAGUUUGCAAUUAUAAAAUAGACCCUUCCAAAAAUUUAGAAAAUAACAUUGAUGUUUUUAAUAAAUUAGUUCUAGAUAUAAACAAUGUUCAAGAAAAAGUCUCUAAGGAUUGAUCGUUUGAUUACCCGCAAGUGAACAUUUGGUUAGCAAGUAAUAUAGUAGUGUGUAGAGUGUCGAACCCACGAAGACUGUUUGUUUGAUCCAGUUAAAAUUAAUAAUACCCUUAAUCGAAUAGCAAAGUUAAGUUGUGAUUAAACAAUAUUAAAUUUGGCAACUAAAUUGAAAGCAAAGUAAAAAUUUAUCAAAUUCGCUAGAAGUAUUGUUAAGACAUGGAAUCCCCAUUGCUAAUCUAUUUUUAGUUCGAUAAUUUAAAUCGACAAUUUGAAAUCAUACUUAUUGGUCAAUAUUCUUAUUUUAAUUGAAAACCUCUCUAGAAAACUAUAAAAUCUAUUUUCUUCAUGCGACAUUUCAUCACUCAAUGAAAUAUACGAACAUGAUAAAUGCCAGAACAUCUUAUAAAAACCAUAUGAAGCAUAAAUGUAUAUCUCUAUCAUCUAUUGAACUUCACAAUAUUUAUUAUUUUGUGCUAAUGAUCUUAUUGUCUCUUUCGAUAACAACAAAAUUCACAAACAAUUCAACUAGUGGCCAAUUAAUUGAAAAAACAUGAAAAUGAUAAUAAACAUCCAAACAAUUAAACAAAUUAACGUCAAUUAAAUUAUUCAAAUUAAAAAUUCAUAACAAGGGUUCAUCACAUCUUAACAAAUAUUAAAAAUUAUCCUAACAUAUUGAAAUUACAAGAAAUCAUAUAUAAGUGGAAAGACAUAAUCCGAAUUUUUGAUAAAUUGUGAAGAUGAAGAUAAAUCUUGAAAUCUUGAAUCUCUUCAAUAGUUUCUUAAUGAAUCUCCACUUGCGCUCUCUCUUCUUUGUCCAAUACCAAGUUUGAAUCUUCACGUGAUUGAAUUCUUGCAAGUCCCCUUCGAUUCUCUCACAAAAACAAUGAAUUCUCCUCCUUUGAUGAUAAUAAUUGAUGAAUAUUGGAGUAUAUUAUGUAUAAGAGACAUGUACGAAAGCCCCCUUCAUGUAUUCUCCUGUUGGGUAUCUGUAGUGGUCGAAAAUUGGUGAAAAAUCACGCCCAAGUUGGUUUUUAAAAGAGUCCCAAUCGAAUAAGCAAAGUUACACUCGCACGCGGAUUUUUUGCUCUGCACAAUAGUCAAUAUUUUGGUCAUAACUUUGUCUCCCAAUAUUUGAUUGAGUUCAUUCAAAAUGCAUUGAAAAGAUAACUAAAAGGACUACAAUUUUUUUAGAGAUAGAUAUUUUUCAAUUAGGAUGUUUACUAUGCCUAAAAUUGGUCGCAAUCCUUGACAAAAAAUCUAGAAGUUAUAUCAUGUAAUUGGAAGUUGAUUUAUGAUAAUAUUCUGAUGAUAUUCCAUUCCUUUUUGACUUCUCAUUGCAUCCAAUUGAAUCCCAUCAAUCUUUAAAAUAUCUCUUAUGGUCCAAUUCAACAAUUGGAUUUUGCAAUUUGGUCCUCAACUUUGUACUUCAUCAUUUUUUGCCGUUUUUUCGCUUAUUUCUUUUAAUUUAACUUCCAACCAUCGAGUUUUACCUAAUAAUGAAAUAUACAAUAAAUUAGGCUAUAAUUACUUUAGAGAACUAUUAAAUGUCUAUAUUUUUAGGUCUACAUAAGUGUAUAAAAUACACUUAUCAAACACCCCCAAACUUAAACAUUUGUUUGUCCUCAAACAAAACCAUAACCUAACUUAACAAACAUACAAACAUACAAAAUAUUUUGGUUGGAUAAUCUUGCUUUUUACCUUGGGAUAUGAAAUUAUAAUAUUAAAUCUACGAACAGCUUCUAGGUUACAAUACCAAAAUUAAUGUCCACUUUACCAGAUGCAAAAUUGACGUAUGUGUGAAAAAUUAAGUAAUCAAUCAUGAAUACACAAGUUGUUUCAGUUCCAGACCUUCUGUGGUCAAAUAUAUCAUUUUCAUCUCUCGUAAGAUUCACACACCAUCAAGCUUAUUCUUUUUCACUCUUUUCCUAGCGUAUAAUCUAAGGUUGAAUUUUUCAUUACUAUCCUCACUCUCUCCAAUUUAGGUGGAUGUUACUAGUAGCAAGUCAACACAUCAAUGAAUAAAUAUUCUCCAAUUAUUUGGUUGCUUAGACUGUCAAGACUCAACUAGGCUAAUUAUCCUUCAUCAAAAGUCAAAUUCCCUCGAACAAGUGUUAGGACUUAAUAAGGCAGUUAGUGCAUUUUUUUUUGGUUCUUUUUUUUUUCCCUAUUGCACUUCCCCUUAAGCUUUCUAGAUGACUCAUGUAGCAGGCUUUAGGUUGAUAACUCUCAAAUCAGACGACUUUAGGGUAUCAGAUUUUUAAACACCCUUACAAGUUUAAUAACCCGAGUCAUAAAGGUUUCGAAGAGAACAAUUAUUUUUUUCUUUCAAGGGUAACAUCAUCUUUGAUUAUUUUCUAAAUGAUCCCUGUAGCGAGCUUUAAUUGCUCGAUUCAUAAAGGUUUCAAAGAGAAGUUUUAAAUUUUAAAAUAUAUGCCUUGAAUAGUGCAAUGCCUCUUAUCAUAUACCUAUUCAAGAAAAUUGACCUCCAACUCAAGAUUUCACAAAAUUUUAUCCUGUUCAUCUCAGACAAUCCACACAAUUUUUUUCCACGCAAGGAAUUCCUAGCCACAUCCGUAUCUUCUUACAAUAGUAAAAUCACCCUAAACUGUGCUAAAUUUGGUCUAAAAAUAAUUAGUUUAGUAUAGUUUAGGUAAAACAUCUAUGUCCAACUAAAUCAACCUAUCAAGAGCAUAAAAAACUCAUUUCAUUAUAAUGUCAAAUUCAAUUCUAAUGUGCGUAUAAUAUCAAGUUUUGCAAUGUUAUCUAGCAUGCAACAUAUCCACAGUUCAUAAAUUAACACUAAAUCUCAAUUUAGAUCAUCAUUGCCGACCAAGCUAUCCAACCCACACAAGCACAGAACCUAAUAAAUUUUUUUUAAGUAGUACUAAAAACAAAUGCACCAAAACACAUAAGCAUACGGAAAAAAAAAACUUAAUUUUUUUUCACCCCCAAACUUGAAGCCGAUAUUGUCCUCAAUGUCAUAAAGCAAAAGUAAGAGUAUAAGGGAAUGGGGAAGAAAAGGAAGAAAAUACUCCCCAAAAUUUUCUGUUGAAUAUGUGAGGCACUAUAGAUGACGGCUUGACAAUCUCUGUCAUUAUACUUUUCCUUUGGUUUAUGUUGUUUUAAGUGUUCCAUGACGUCAUGAUCCUGCACAUAGCAGUUAAAUCAAACAUUAAAAAUAAGUAAUCUAGAAUAUGUGUUACUUAGCCCAAGCAAUCAAAAUACCAAUAAUAAAUUCAAUGGCCUAAUGGAAGUAUUAAAGAUGGUGAUACCCUACAAAUUAAAACGUGCUUAAAUCUAAUGCAACCUAGUAAUCGAAACAAAUCUAUAUGCUAUGCUAUGCGAUGCAGAAAGCAAAAUAACUAAAAGCGUUAGAAGAUCGAGUUGCCUCCCAAUAAGCGCUUAAUUUAUAGUCUUUAGCUAGACUGUAUGGAAGAAUUGAUCAUGAUGGUUUAUAUCUUGAGUUUUUGCACUCCUUGCAAUUUUCGAUUUUGCAUCCUCGUUUUGCCUUCCAAACCUUGAACCCUCCAUUCCCUUCUUGUCCAAGGCUUCCUAAGUUUUUAGGUUAUGUCUCCUUCAAGCCUUGUUGCACAUUUGCAGCAAUAUAAUUGCACUCCUCCUUAACCUUUUUGCUAAUCUCUUCAAGUAAUGAAUUUUUGAUAGUGUUGUAGAUCUUGAAUUUCUCUUCCUUAUCUUCCACUCUCAAUGUCAAUUUGCCAUUUUCAAAGUCCACGAUAGCUCGACUUAUUGAUAGGAAGGAUCUGCCCAAGAUAAGUAACACUUCAUCCCAAGACUCCUCUAUAUCUAGGACAACGAAAUCAACUAGGAAUAUGAUUUACCCACUUUAAUGAGCACGUUCUCAACUACUCCACGUGGGUAUUUGAUUGAUCUAUCCGCCAAUUGAAGGUAGAUGGAUGUGUCUUUCAGCUCUUCCAAACCUAAGUUUUUGUAUACAAAAGAAGGCAUUAGGUUAAUACUUGCUCUAGAAUCACAUAAGCAAUUAAAAUUUAAAUCUUUUCCUAUUGAGGAAGGUAUUUUGGGACUCCCCGAAUCUUGUAGUUUAGGAGGUAAUUUAUUCUGUAAGAUGGCACUACACUCUUCAUUUAACUUGAUGGUCUCAAAAUCUGUAAUAUUUCUCUUUUUUGAUAGGAUCUCCUUCAGAAAUUUUGCAUAGUUUGAUAUUUGAGAUAAAACUUCAAUCAAUGGGACAUUGAAAUGAAGUUUCUUAAAGAUAUCCAAGAACUUUGCAAAUUGUUCUUCCAACUUCUUCUUUUGUAAUUUAUGGGGAAAUGGGAAUAGAGGCACAUAAGGUUUGAUAGGAGCGGUUACCUUGAUUUGUAGAUUUUCUAGCUCUUGAGAUGGAACUACUUUGUCCAGUUGUUCAUAUUUAUCUACCUGUUCCUCAUCUGUAAAAGGUGACUUUUUAUUUUCUGUCACCCGUCUUUUAACUAUAACUUCUGGAAGUUUAACUCCACUGCGUGUAGUAAUUGCCUCAAUCUCCUCGCUCUCCAAAACUUUUACUGUCAUUACCUGCUGUUUAGGAUUUGUUUCCGUGUCGAUUGGUAGUGUUCCUUGCUGUCUUUCUGAGACUGCUUUUGCUAUUUGUUCCAUCUGAUUUUUUAAAUUCUUGAUAGCAGCUUCCUGAACUUGUAAAGUCUUAUCUGUUCUUUGCAUGUGUUGAGUAGAGAUCUCUGCCAAUUUAAUGACAAGAUCUUUCAAUGAAGAAUUAUUUUCAGCCUAUCGAAAACCUGGAGGUGCAGUCUACUAUGCCGCAAUCUAACUACCUGAUUGUUGCUCCAUUGAAAAUCUGGAUAAUUUCUCCAGCUUGGGUAGUAGGUGUUAGGAUUCUGAUUGUGUUGCUAUCUUUGAAAAUUUUGAGCAUAAUUUACAUCAUCUAGUGAUUGAUCAAAAGGACUACCCAUAGUGCAAUCAGCACUUUCAUGAUUUCCUCUACAGUGCUUGCAUUUUUGUCCUACUGUUUGAAACAUGUUGAUGACAUCUGUUCUCAAGUAGAAGUUUUCCUGACCAAACACCGGAUAUACAAUACUGGACUGGCUUUCCACUACCAGUGGAACCAUAUACUCUCCCAUGAGCCUUGCAUUUUUGUUCACUACAGCGAUAUUCAGUUGUGAUACUCCCAAAUUAGCCCCGAUUGUUAGUUGAUUCGGAUUUUUGUUUGCCAUGUCUUCAUCUUUUUGUUUUUGAUGUGUUUCAAGCUGUUGUCUUUUUCGAAAGUUGAAUGUUCAUUCGAUGGGUCAAAUUGAGCAAGAUCACCAGUUCUCAAACUUCGCAUAUAAAGUUCUAAAAAAGAAAGUAAGAAACGUAGUAAAAUUUUUCUAAUAAUUAUACUAAAACAGAAAAAAUUAAAAUUCAGAUUAAAGCUAAAAUAAACUAAAACUAGUAAAAAAAAAUAGUCCCCGGCAUGGCGUCAAAAACUUGAUCGUUUGAUUACCUCAAGUGAACGGGAUCGUGAGCAAGUAAUAUAGUAGUGUGUAGAGUGUCGAACUCACGACGAUUAUGUGUUUGAUCCAGUUAAAACUAAUAAUACCCUUAAUCGAAUAGCAAAAUCAAGUUGUGACUAAACAAUAUUAAAUCUAGCAACUAAAUUGAAAGCAAAGUAAAAAUUUAUCAAAUUCGCGGGAAGUAUUGCUAAGAUGUAGAAUCCCCCUUGCUAAUCUAUUUUUAGUUCGACAAUUUAAAUCAACAAUUUGAAAUCAUGUUUGUUUGUCAAUGUUCCUAUUUUAAUUGAAAACCUCUCUCGAUGGCUAUCAAAUCUAUUUCCUUCAUGCGACCUUCCUAUCACUCGAUGAAAGAUACAAACAUGAUAAAUGCAAGAACAUCUUAUAAAAGUCAUAUGAAGUAUAGAGGUAUAUCUCUAUCCUUUGUCGAACCUCACAAUAUUUAUUAUUUUGUGCUAAUGAUCCUAUUGUCUCUCUCGAUAAUAACAAAAUUCACAAACAAUUCAACUAGUGGUCAAUUAAUUGAAAAAGCAUGAAAACGAUAAUAAACAUCCAAACAAUUAAACAAAUUAACAUCAAUUAAAUUAUUCAAAUUAAAAAUUCAUAACAAGGGUUCAUCACAUCCUAACAAAUAUGAAAAAUUAGCCUAACAUAUUGAAAUUACAAGAAAUCAUAUAUAAGUGGAAAGACAUAACCCGAAUUUUUGAUAAAUUGUGAAGAUGAAGAUAAAUCUUGAAAUCUUGAAUCUCUUCAAUGGUUUCUUAAUGAAUCUCUACUUGCGCUCUCUCUUCUUUGUCCAAUACCAAGUUUGAAUCUUCAAGUGAUUGAAUUCUUACAAGUCUCCUUCAAUUCUUUUACAAAAAUAAUGAAUUCUCUUCCUUUGAUGAUGAUAAUUGAUGAAUGUUGGAGUAUAUUAUGUAUAAGAGACAUGUACGAAAGCCUCCUUCAUGUAUUCUAUUGGGUAUCUGUAGUGGUCGAAAAUUGGUGAAAAAUCACGUCCAAGUUGGUUUCCAAAAGAGUUCCAAUCGAAUAAGCAAAGUUACACUCGCAUGCGGAUUUUUUUCUCUGCACAGCAGUCAAUAUUUUGAUCAUAACUGUGUCUCCUGAUAUUUGAUUGAGUUGAUUCAAAAUGCAUUGAAACGAUAACUAAAAGGGCUACGAUUCUUUUAGAGAUAAAUAUUUUUCAAUUCGAACGUUUACUACGCCUAAAAUUGGUCACAAUCCUUGACAAAAAAAUCUAGAAGAUGUAUCAUGUAAUUCGAAGUCGAUUAUGGUAAUAUUCUGAUGAUAUUUCAUUCCUUUUUUACUUCUAAUUGCAUCCAAUUGACUCUUACCAAUCUUUAAAAUAUCUCAUAUGGUCCAAUUCAACCAUUGGAUAUUUACAAUUUGGUCCUGAACUUUGUACUUCAUCAUUUUUCGUCGUUUUUCACUUAUUUCUUUCAAUUUAGCUUUCAACCAUCGAGUUUUACCUAAUAAAUGAAAUAUACAAUAAAUUAGGUUAUAAUUGCUUUAAAGAACUAUUAAAUGUCUAUAUUUUUAGGUCUACAUAAGUGUAUAAAAUACACUUAUCAAGGAUAAGGAUGUCAUUCUUCUUAAUUCAUUACCUGAAGCUUAUAAAGAUGUUAAAACUGUCAUUAAGUAUGGCACGGAUGUCUUGACUCCUAAGGUUGUUAAGAAGCAAAGAACUAGAACUUAAAUCUGAAAGGCAGGGAAGGGAUUCCGAGAGUCAGCUUGUUAGGGGUAGAUCACUUAGUAGGCAAAAUAGUAGUCGUAAAAAUCAUAAUCAUCAAGGAAAUAAUAAUAACAAGAAGAAAUGGAAAGGAAGACCUAGGUCAAAGUCUAGGUCUGGGAGUAGAAAGUGCUAUGGAUGUGGAAAAACUAGUCACCUUAUUAAAGACUGCUACAAAAAAAAAAAAAAAAAAAGGAAUGAACAAAGAGAUAAGUAUGUGGAUGAGGGAAAUGUUGUAGAACCCCUAGAAGAUAAAACUGUGGACGUCUAUGUUGUUACAGAACCCAUUACUGAUGUGAAUACUAUUAAUUUUUCUGAAAAUAAUUACCAGAGUCAAGAGUGGAUUCUUGAUUCUGGUUAUACCUUCCAUAUGACUUCUAAAAGAUCUUGGUUAGAAAGUUUUAAAAACAUAAAUGGAGGUGAGGUAGUAAUGGGUAAUAAUGCAGCCUGUAAAGUUUUAGGAAUUGGUAAUGUGACUUUGAAAUUUGAAAAUGAAUAUAUCUUUACCCUAUAGAGAGUAGGAUAUGUCCCAGAUUUAAAAAGAAAUUGAAUUUUAAUGGAUAAUCUGGAUGACAUUAGCCUACAAGCUAAGCUUGGUGAUGGCCUAUUAAAAGUAAUUAAAGGCUCUCUUGUAAUAUUCAAAGGUGCCAAAAGAAAUGGAACAUAUGUCACUAGAGCUGACGUAAUUUCAAGUCACACUGCUGAAGUUGAUGCCACCUUAAAAUGACACAAUAGGUUAGCACAUGUAAGUGAAAGAGGUCUGCACAUUUUGAGUAAAAAGGGUGUUCAUGGAAAAGAUAAUAUUUCAAAAAUUUCCUUUUGUGAUUAUUGUACUCUAGGAAAAUAACAUAGACUUCACUUCAAUACAGUAUGAGACUACUUCUGUGUUGGAGUAUGUACAUGUUGAUUUGUGAGGACCCUCAUCUACCAUCACUCAAGGAGAAAAUAAAUAUUUUCUAUCUUUGAUUGAUGAUUUUCAAGAAAGGUUUAGAUUUUUCUGUUAAAACAGAAGUCAGAUACUUUUGAAAAAUUUAAAGGUUAGAAAACCUUGAUUGAAAAUCAGAAUGGGAAGAAAAUUGAUAAACUAAGAAUUGAUAACAGUCUAAAAUUUUGUAAUGCUGAUUUUUGAUCAAUUAUGUAAGGUUAGUGGCAUCUUUAGACAUAAAACUAUACCCUAUACCCCUCAACAAAAUGGAGUUGUUGAAAUGAUGAAUAGAAAAAUUCUAGACAAAAUUAGAUGCAUGGUGAUUAGUUCUGGAGUCCUAAAGUGUUGCGGGAAGAAGUUGCUAUGACAGCAGUGUACAUCAUAAAUAGAACCCCUACUAGUGCCUUAGAUGGUAGAACUCCUGAGGAGGUGUGGUAUGGAAAAAUAUCAUAUUAUACUCACCUUAAGACUUUUGGUUGUGUAGCCUUUUCCCAUCAAAGUGUUGGUAAAUUUGAACCUAGAUCCCUAAAAUGUGUUUUUAUGGGGUAUCCUAGGAGUGUAAAGGGCUACAAGUUGUGGGAUAGGAGUGUUAAGGGGUUUAGAAUAAUCACAAGUAGGAAUGUGACCUUUAAUGAGUCUGACAUGCCCUGCAUAUCUGAGAAAUAUCAUGAAACACACCUGUUGAACAUACUGAUGAAGUUCAGACUGAAAUCGAGGAAGUUUUAGAAGUUGAAAUAGAGGAAAAAGUGCCUGUUCAAGAAGUAGGUGAGGAAGAAAAUCCUUUAGAAGGUUACCAGUUUACUAGGGAUAGGGUUAGAAGAGAGAUAAGACAACCCUUGAAAAUGAGAGACUACCUAUCCUUAGCUUUAUUGUCCUACCAAGAUCUGGCCUUUAAAAAACCUAAAACAUAUGAGGAGGCAGUGAGUUGUCAAUUAUUAGAUGACUGGAAAUUGGCCAUGGGUAAAGAAAUGAGCUCUCUAUUGAAAAAUAAUACUCGGACUUUGGUUCCCAAUCCUAAGGAUAAAUCCAUAGUUGAUUGUAAAUGGAUUUAUAACAUAAAAGAGGGUAAUAAUUUGAAGCAGCCUAUUAGGUUUAAAGCCAGAUUAGUUGCAAAAGGAUUCACACAAAAACCUGGGAUAAUUUUCUCACAUGUGGUUAAAUACACAACCUUAAGAUUCAUGCUUGCUUUAGUAACACAUUUUGACUUAGAAAUUGAACAAAUGGACGUCAAAAUUGCUUUUUUGUAUGGAGACUUGGAUGAAACCAUUUAUAUGUGUUAGGCACUUGGUUUUAUUGAUACUAAGAAAUCUAAACAUGUGUGGCUAUUAAAAAGAUCUUUGUAUGGGCUUAAACAACUACCAAGACGAUGGUAUAAACGCUUUGAUAAUUUUGUGUCAUCCGUUGGUUUUCUUAAAAGCUUUUUUGAUCAUUGUUUGUACUUUAAAGAGGAUAAAAAUGGUCUGUGAUUGUUUACCUGCUUCUGUAUGUGGAUGAUAUGUUACUAAUAGGGCAACAUCUAAGUGAUAUUAAUGAUAUUAAAGGUUUUUAUGCUCUGAAUUUGAAAUGAAAGGCUUGGGACAUGCUAUAAGAAUUUUAGGCAUGGAUAUUAAGAAAAAUAGAUCUAAACAUGUUCUUUUUCUAUCACAAUCGGCAUAUGUGGAAAAAGUAUUAUCAAAAUUUGCUAUACAUGAAUCAAAGUUUGUUACUUUACCACUUGGAAGCCAUUUUAAAUUGAGUAAAGAUCAGUAUUCUGUUGAUGAAUCUGAUGUGAAAUAUAGGCAAAAGGUUUCUUAUGCUAAUGAUGUGGGGUCUAUUAUGUACACUAUGGUGUGUACCAGUCCUAAUGUUGCUCAUGCCAUCAGCACCUUAAGUAGAUUUAUGGAAAAUCUUGGCCUGAACACUGGAUUGCCUUAAAAUGGUUACUUAGAUAUCUAAACGGGUCCUCUAACUUGGAUUUAUGUUUUAAUCCUUGUAAAGAAGGUAUUAUUUUAAAGGGAUUUGUUAUUUUGAUUAUGCGGGGGACACGACAAUAAAAAAUCAACUACAUCUUACAUGUUUACCUUGUAUGGCAUUUGUGUGAAUUGGAAAUCACAAUUACAGUCUAUUACUGCAUUAUCAACCAUUGAAGCAAAAUAUGUGGUAGCCACUGAAGCCGUAAAAGAAGCAUUAUGGCAUAAAGGUUUAUCAUGUGAAUUAAAUGUCCUUUCUCACACAGUAGUAGUUUACUCAGAUAGUUAGAGUGCUACUCAUUUAUAUAAAAAUCUUAUUUUUCAUGAAAGGACUAAGCAUAUAAAUAUUAGAAUGCAUUUUGUCCAUGAUAUAAUUCAUAAGGAUUCUGUUGUACUUGAAAAAAUACCUAUUGAAUUUAAUCCAGCUGAUACGGGAAGCAGGGAACUCUCUCUUAACAAGUUUAAAUCUUGUUUGGAAAUUCUGAAAAUUGAUACUGGAUAAUUAUAUGGGAAAAGUAGGUACUGGUUUCUCCGUCUUGGUGCUUUGAGUUGUGGGACCUAUAUAAAGGAUGUGCAGAAGUUGUUUUUCUGUAUUUUGAGUCCUGUUCGAGUCAUUGGCAUCAAUGUGGAGAUUGUUUAGUUUGCGAUGCUAAUUUUGAAAUUACAACUCAAAUAAUGGGCUAUGAUGAAAACUGGGCUAGAACCAUUCUUGAUACUACACUUCCAUUGCUCGAUAACUCGAAUGAAGAGGCCCAAAACCCAAGCCCAUCAUUUGGCCACGUGUGAUACUACGGACUAUUGGAUCUUCUAAUUAAUAUCAACCAUGAUGAGCCUCUUAUGUAUAAUGGCGUUUGAUGGUUGCCCUAGUGGACUUCACUCAUUUUUCUUUUGUCUCUUGAACUUUCUAGAAUUUGAGAUUUUCUGUCUUCCUUUCUCCUUCAUCUUCUUUGUGUUUCUCUUGAAACUUCUGUGAUUUGGGGUUUGUAUACUGUGUGAAUAAGCGAUUCUUGAGUGAGGAAAAAUGGUUGAUAUCUGUUUUAGGGUUUUUUUUUCUUUGGUCCGUCGAGGGAGCCUCGUUCGGUUUCUUGUGUGGGUUUUGGUAUUUUGGUGCUUUAGGUUUGUAUAGAAGGUACAAUGAUUUUUGAGCCCAAAUGGUCGAUGAAAUCUUGG